UCUAAAAAUAAUGUUAUCUUCUUCUAUAAAAACGCUUGAGUAGAAGCAAACCCUAAUUCUUUUGGCGUGGCUUCUCUGGUUGUUUUAACUUCUUCUAUAAAAACGCUUGAGCAGAAGCAAUUCAAGCAAACCCUAAUUCUUUUGGCGUGGCUUCUCUGAUUGUUUGUUUUCUUAUUUCAUUUUGUUUAUGGAUGCUUACGAAUGAAUUAUUGGUCUGAUAUCCGGUUGUCAUUUGUUUUGCAGGAUGUAAUGGAAACGUGGGCAGUCGAUUGGCGAUGCUUCUAUCCUUUGAAAACUGAAAAUAGAGAAGCUUCGAUUCUGGAAAAAAUGGUAGUAUAAGAGAACUCAUCUCAGAAGAUGUAAACUGUGAGAAUUCCACCUGUUGCGGCUGUCAAGAAUUCGGUUGCUUUAGCCAUGUACGAGCUCACAUAUAUUGAAUAGAAAGGGUGCACGUAUUAAGGUAAUAUCAUUUCAUUAUCAUGUAGGAUUAAGCUCAUUGUGAUUAGCAGCUCUGUUGGGUUCUUAUUUUAAUCUUUUGUGAAUUUUAUUAAUUAUUGUAUAUUUUUCUAGGAAGGAAAAAUUGAAAAUCUGAAGAAGUUUUUGUGUAUUGUUGCUUUUGGUUUUCAUCUUCUUAAAAAUUUCAAAUGACCUUUUAGCAUAACCUAGUAGUAAGGAAGAUUUAUUUCUCACAUCAUUGAUGUUUACCUUGGUAACGCUUUCUUUUAAUUCUGAUUAAGCGUGUCAAUCUUAAUAUGGGUUUUCUUUAUAUUGGGAAAGCGCUUUCGUUGGAUCUCCAAAAUGGUUUGUAAUUGAAUAUGGGUAUGCAAAGCAAACCAACAGUGAUGUGAUGUUUAGUUUGUUUUUUUGAUUUGUAAAGUGGACUGGGUAUUUUGUAUCAGCAUGUCAAGGGUGCGAGUCAUUUGACUCUAGACAAUGAAUCUGAUGUCAUGUUAUAUGGGUAAAGUUCGUGAUAAUGUGCCCGUCAGGGAAUUUAAUCAUCAUAGGUUGAUCAUUCUCAAUAUUUUUGCAAUGUUCGAUAAAGGAAAUGAAGGCAUCGAAGUCCAGAUGGUUGGAAUUGGCCAUCAGGCCGUGUUGAAGAGGGUUGUAUCGUAUCUUGCUUACUCAUUUUUCAAAUCCGACACCGUAGUGGUAAACUGUAUGGUUACAUGAGAACGAAAAGGUAUUUUUUCAAUUGAUAUCUCCCAUUUGUGCUUAAUUUUAUCUUCUUUCAGUUUAGCCGGAAAUGAAGAUGGCUACUUCGUGUAUAUGAGUCACCACCGAAGUUACCCUCUUAUAUGUGGGCAUCGGCGAUGGAGAAUUUUGAAUGUAGGCCAUCACAUUACAACUCAAAUGACGUCUGAGGAUAUCUCAUAACAUGCUAGAAUUGAUCCAAUGGUGUAUAUUUUGUUUACUGUCACCUUCUUCAAUGUUUGCCUAAUUAAUAUGUUAUGUUUUAAUCUUCCCAAUAACAUGAGUUUACAUGGAGUCCCCAUAAGAUCUUUCGUACAAUUGUCUACUAGACUCUUAACUAGCUAUUCGAUGGAGAUAAAUAGAAACCGUGGUCAAUUCGAAUGCGAGUUACUCCACUAAGUUAGAAUUAGAAAUUUAGAAUAGAAUUAGAAAUUUAGAAUCCUGAAUGUGGUCUAUUUUACACCAACGAAGUUACCGCCGGUGAGUUGAAGUUAUAUGUAGAAGAUUCUUUUGAUGGAAACUAAAAUGCAUCUGUCUUGCAGGUUGUUGUUGAAGUUAUAUGUAGAAGAUUGCUCGGGAUAUGCAGUGUUUGUCCUGAUUGGUAAAACAGCUGAACAGAUACUUGGGAUGAUCUAAGGAACUUCAAAAAACUCUUUGGUGGAGAUCAGGUACAUCAGGUGGAUAUAGCUGAACAGAUGGCUCGAAGAAUCCAACGUCGUGAGUGGGUAUUCUGCUUGGAGAUUAGGAAGAUAACUUGGGGUUCGAGAACCUUUGAGGUCAGCGAAAUAUAGCCAAUUCAGGCAUCAUCCGAUAAUGGUUUUGUAAAGUUAAUGGAACCUGAACUAAUUAGCAGCGGUCAUGAAUUUUCUCCCAGGACACCUGUGAAGGGUAAAGAUCACAAGGUUGUGGUGAUGUCGUCCGAUUGUGACGAUUGAGUGAUUUUAGACAAUCAUGAAUUUGGAGUAGGUUUGAGUAGUUUGUUUACAGUGAACAUGAUUUUAUUUAGUUUAGUUAUUUAUUUAUUAGUUCUCUCAGAUUCAUUGGAAUUUUGAUUUUAUCGAAUAAUUAUUAGAAUUUUACUGUCUAAAA